GAUGAACGCUGGCGGCGUGCCUAAUACAUGCAAGUCGAGCGAAUGGAUUAAGAGCUUGCUCUUAUGAAGUUAGCGGCGGACGGGUGAGUAACACGUGGGUAACCUGCCCAUAAGACUGGGAUAACUCCGGGAAACCGGGGCUAAUACCGGAUAACAUUUUGAACCGCAUGGUUCGAAAUUGAAUGGCGGCUUCGGCUGUCACUUAUGGAUGGACCCGCGUCGCAUUAGCUAGUUGGUGAGGUAACGGCUCACCAAGGCAACGAUGCGUAGCCGACCUGGGAGGGGGACGGGCCACACGGGGACUGAGACACGGCCCAGACUCCUACGGGAGGCAGCAGUAGGGAAUCUUCCGCAAUGGACGAAAGUCUGACGGAGCAACGCCGCGUGAGUGAUGAAGGCUUGCGGGUCGUAAAACUCUGUUGUUAGGGAAGAACAAGUGCUAGUUGAAUAAGCUGGCACCUUGACGGUACCUAACCAGAAAGCCACGGCUAACUACGUGCCAGCCGCCGCCGUAA
rnacentral:rRNA from 1 species